UAGGGAAUCUUCCACAAUGGACGCAAGUCUGAUGGAGCAACGCCGCGUGAGUGAAGAAGGUUUUCGGAUCGUAAAGCUUUGCUGUUGGUGAAGAAGGAUAGAGGCAGUAACUGGUCUUUAUUUGACGGUAAUCAACCAGAAAGUCACGGCUAACUACGUGCCAGCAGCCGCGGUAAUACGUAGGUGGCAAGCGUUGUCCGGAUUUAUUGGGCGUAAAGCGAGCGCAGGCGGAAUGAUAAGUCUGAUGUGAAAGCCCACGGCUCAACCGUGGAACUGCAUCGGAAACAGUCAAUAUUGAGAGCAGAAGAGGAGAGUGGAGUUCCAUGUGUGGCGGGGGGAUACGUAGAUAUAUGGAAGAACACAAGUGGCGAAGGCGGCUCUCUGGUCUGCAACUGACGCUGAGGCUCGAAAGCAUGGGUAGCGAACAGG
rnacentral:rRNA from 1 species